ensembl:lncRNA
GUGUGAGUUGUGAUAGGCCAAGAGGUAGGGUAAUCCGUGGAAAGGUCAUCAGGCUAUCACAGGAAUAACACACAGAGACCAGCAUUCACAUCCACACCUACAGCCAAUUCAGAAUUACCAGUUAACCUAAGAUGCACGUCUUUGGCCUGUCAGAGGAAGCCAGAGUAACCAUGAAAGCAAACUCCACAUAGAAAGGCACCAGCUGGCCAGUGGAUUUAAUCCAGGACCUUCUUGUUGUGAGGCAACAUUGUUAACCACUGCACCAUUGUGUGACAAUUAUGACAAUUGUUACAUCAUUGUUGUGCACGUGAUGUUUUUUACAGAAAGACAAAUUAGUAGCAAUAACAAGACAUUUUCUGAUACAAGAAGUUGCUGUAGGUGGAUACAUUAAUAACUAAAAAUGCUUUUGCAAACAACAUUAAUCAUUUAUUAAGUUGCAAGACUUCAAACCCAGGCUUAAGUACACCAAAACACCAAAGCUAAUUAAAAUGACCAAAACCAUUUUGUCUGCCUCUCGGGGGUACACUGUACCAGUACAGUCGAACCUAGCGCUGUCAUUGCUAAUGCCACUCGAUAGUUGAAAGUUCUCAACUAUCACUCAGUUUGCUUAACCCAGCCACUGAGUUUUCUUCUGCCUCUGAGAAAUGUUGUGCGACUUCCAUUCUGCUCUCUCACACAUGCACAUAUACACAGACACACAAACAAACUUUGCCAUAAUUAGUGUCUACCUUCCCACAAUGACUCUCUCUGAUAAAUUGCACUUUGUAACUUUCCCAGACAACACCUGCUUGUGUGAAUCAUGUACACAUGCUGCCAAGUAUCUAUUAAGUUGAUCUCUGCUGUCAAUCAGCUCACCCAGGUAAAACAGACACUGGCUGCAGGGCCGUGACCCUUUUCCUAGUCUGGGUUUUGUAAUGAAUCAGCAUCUACAAUAAGGCACCUGGGACAGGAAGUGUGCAUGUGUGUAACAUUUUUGUAGAUAAAUCUGCACUCGGCUGCACGCUGACUCGCUUGUCACUCGUCAGCCCGUUAAUAAUAAAAACCCCCUUUUGCACCUGACGGAGGGAACAUUGUGUUCAGUUGUGUUUCCUGUUUGGUUUGACACAAAGGAAAGCUAUCCUUGUUCGUGUUUCAAGCAGAUUUCUCAAUGUGUUUUCAUUUUCUAAUUUUAUAUUCUUGUUUCAUCUCCAAUUAUUUGCAUAUUGUUUGAUGAUUUCAAUUAUUUGAAAAAAGUAAAUGAAACUUUACCCCAAA